rnacentral:lncRNA from 1 species
UCUGGCAUUUGAUAGUAAUCCCUUUUAUUGUAAAUGUCUCCGCUGGAAGUCAUGGGUCAUUUUGUAUUGUGAAUACAAUCUAACAAUGUGAAUGUGUGUAUGCAAUGUAAAUUGCUAAAUACAUGACUGGUAUAGUGCAUGUAUAUUAUUAUCAAUAAUGCCAUUGUGUUUUGGCUAUGUUCACACCCGGGAAAAGGUGUGUGUGUAUGCAUGAUAUGAUAAAUUUGUUAAGCAAAG